rnacentral:rRNA from 1 species
CCUACGGGUGGCAGCAGUGAGGAAUAUUGGUCAAUGGACGAGAGUCUGAACCAGCCAAGUAGCGUGAAGGAUGACUGCCCUAUGGGUUGUAAACUUCUUUUAUAUGGGAAUAAAAUGUUCCACGUGUGGGAUUUUGUAUGUACCAUAUGAAUAAGGAUCGGCUAACUCCGUGCCAGCAGCCGCGGUAAUACGGAGGAUCCGAGCGUUAUCCGGAUUUAUUGGGUGUAAAGGGAGCGUAGGUGGAUUGUUAAGUCAGUUGUGAAAGUGUGGGGCUCAACCGUAAAAGUGCAGUUGAAACUGGCAGUCUUGAGUACAGGAGAGGUGGGCGGAAUGCGUGGUGUAGCGGUGAAAUGCGUAGAUAUCACGAAGAACUCCGAUUGCGAAGGCAGUUCACUGGACUGCAACUGACACUGAGGCUCGAAAGUGUGGGUAUCAAACAGGAUUAGAUACCCCUGUAGUC